UACGGAGGGUGCAAGCGUUAUCCGGAAUCACUGGGUUUAAAGGGUGCGUAGGCGGUCUAGUAAGUCAGUCGUGAAAGGUUCCCGCUCAACGGGAGACGUGCGAAUGAUACUGUUAGACUUGAACAUAGAUAAAGUGGGCGGAAUGCAUCAUGUAGCGGUGAAAUGCUUAGAUAUGAUGUAGAACACCGAAAGCGAAGGCAGCUCACAGUACUAUAGUUGACGCUGAGGCACGAAAGCGUGGGUAGCGAACAGG
rnacentral:rRNA from 1 species